UGUGCAACACAGAGAAGACAAGCAGUGAUUCUACAGCAUCUUACUUUGCUGAUGGACAGUGACUGCAAUGGUGUAUGUAGGGGAAACUUGGUGAUGGGGGGUGAAGGGCCCCCACCAGUAAGAUGGCGAACUUCUGGCUUCUCUUCUGGGUCCUCAGUUCCCGACGGCGCCACCUAAAGACCAAUCACCUCUCUCCCCACUCCCACUCCCAGCACCUAGCCAAUAGCCACCAGCCCCGUAGAAGUGACACCACAAUCACCCCAUGCCCCUUCCUAUAUAACCCAACACCUUUCCCCAAUAAAGCGAAAUUCUCCGGUGAAUUGCUGCUGUGUAUCGCUCCUUUCCUUUCAUUGGUGCCAAAACCUGGGAGACGGGACACCCCAACUGGGCCCCGUCUUCCCCCCGACACCAGCAGCAGCUUGCCCUCGUCCUCUUUUUCCGGCGCUGGCUCCUCACACUCACCACUCCUCUUUGGCCUUUAGUUCAUCAAAUCCCAAGUCAGAAAAAUCUCUAAUUAAACUUUCAACCAGCUAUUACUCAGGAACUAUCAGCUUCUGGCCACAGAAGAUCCCUCACCCUCACGUGACCUCCUCACCACACGCUGAGAUGGACCCCUCUCUCCACUGGAAACUGUUCCUGGAAACAAUGGCCGCAGACGCCUGGCUUCUGACA